UACGGGGGGGGCGAAGCGUUGUUCGGAAUUACUGGGCGUAAAGGGCUCGUAGGCGGCCAACUAAGUCAGACGUGAAAUCCCUCGGCUUAACCGGGGAACUGCGUCUGAUACUGGAUGGCUUGAAUCCGGGAGAGGGAUGCGGGAAUUCCAGGUGAGCGGUGAAAUGCGCAGAUAUCAGGAGGAACACCGGUGGCGAAGGCGGGUCUCUGGGCCGUAACUGACGCUGAGGAGCGAAAGCAUGGGGAGCGAACAGG
rnacentral:rRNA from 1 species